GGAAACCUCGAGUGUUUAUGGCACUCUUUAAAAUCCAUAUCCACCUUGUGUGCAAUGUUUGUUGGGAAAGUCUUUUUCUUUCCCUUCAUAAAUAUCAACCUAUAUCUUUAACAACAUUCGUCUGAUAACAUAUUAUGAAUAUACUUAAUUCAAAAUAUAACUUUCAACAACGGAUCUCUUGGCUCUCGCAUCGAUGAAGAACGCAGCGAAAUGCGAUACGUAAUGUGAAUUGCAGAAUUCAGUGAAUCAUCGAAUCUUUGAACGCAUAUUGCGCUCUUUGGUAUUCCGAAGAGCAUGCUUGUUUGAGUAUCAGUAAACACCUCAACCUCUCUUUUUUGAUAAAAAAAAAAGGGAGGGUGGACUUGAGCUAUCCCAACGACCUUCACCGGUAGGCGGGCGGCUUGAAAUGCAGGUGCAGCUGGACUUUUAUCUGAGCUAAAAGCAUAUCUAUUUAGUCCUCGUCAAACAGGAUUAUUACUUUUGCUGCAGCUAACAUAAAGGAUAAUUGUCCUCUUUGCUGACUGAUGCAGGAUUUUACGACACUUUAUGUGUUGUUCAACUCGAUCUCAAAUCAAGUAAGACUACCCGCUGAACUUAAGCAUAUCAAUAAGCGGAGGAGGGAA
rnacentral:rRNA from 1 species